rnacentral:rRNA from 1 species
GACGAACGCUGGCGGCGUGCCUAAUACAUGCAAGUCGAACGCAGUGGCGGACGGGUGAGGACCACGUGGGUAACUGCCUAGUAAAGGGGGAUAACUAUUGGAAACGAUAGCUAAUACCGCAUACUAGUAGAUGGACCUGCGUUGUAGUAGCUAUUAGCUAGGGUAAUGGCCUACCUAGGCGACGAUACAUAGCCGACCUGAGAAGGUGAUCGGGCACAAUGGUAAUGGGGCACGGCCCCAACGUCUACGGGAGGCCGGAGUAGGGAAUCUUCGGCAAUGGGGGGAACUCUGACCGCGCAACGCCGCGGGAGUGAAGAAGGUUUUCGGAUCGUAAAGCUCUGUUGUUCAGGGAGCGGUACUUAACCAGAAAGGGACGGCUAACUACGUGCCAGCAGCCGCGGUAAUAC